rnacentral:lncRNA from 1 species
CAGGUUCACGUCAUUCUCCUGCCUCAGCCUCGCCAGCGGCUGGGACUACAGGUGCCUGCCACCACGCCUGGCUAAUUUUUUGUAUUUUUAGUAGAGAUAGGGUUUCACCGUGUUACCGGGAUGGUCUCAAUCUCCUGACCUUGUGAUCCGCCUGUCUCAGCCUCCCAAAGUGCUGGGAUUACAGGUGUGAGCCCAGCCACGCCCGGCCAAUUUUUUGUAUUUUUAGUAGAGACAGAGUUUCACCGUGUUAGCCAGGAUGGUCUCG